AGUCGAACGAUGAAGCCCAGCUUGCUGGGCGGAUUAGUGGCGAACGGGUGAGUAACACGUGAGUAACCUGCCCUUGACUCUGGGAUAAGCUCGGGAAACUGGGUCUAAUACCGGAUAGGAGCGUCUGUCGCAUGACGGGUGCUGGAAAGAUCUUUCGGUCAUGGAUGGACUCGCGGCCUAUCAGCUUGUUGGUGAGGUAACGGCUCACCAAGGCGACGACGGGUAGCCGGCCUGAGAGGGUGACCGGCCACACUGGGACUGAGACACGGCCCAGACUCCUACGGGAGGCAGCAGUGGGGAAUAUUGCACAAUGGGCGAAAGCCUGAUGCAGCGACGCCGCGUGAGGGAUGACGGCCUUCGGGUUGUAAACCUCUUUCAGCAGGGAAGAAGCGAAAGUGACGGUACCUGCAGAAGAAGCACCGGCUAACUACGUGCCAGCAGCCGCGGUAAUACGUAGGGUGCGAGCGUUAUCCGGAAUUAUUGGGCGUAAAGAGCUCGUAGGCGGUUUGUCACGUCUGUCGUGAAAGUCCGGGGCUUAACCCCGGAUCUGCGGUGGGUACCGGCAGACUAGAGUGCAGUAGGGGAGACUGGAAUUCCUGGUGUAGCGGUGGAAUGC
rnacentral:rRNA from 1 species